AUUGAACGCUGGCGACAGGCCUAACACAUGCAAGUAGAGCGAGCGGCGGACUGGUGAGUGAUGCCUGGGAAUUGCCCAGUCGAGGGGGAUAACGGUUGGAGACGACUGCUAAUACCGCAUAAGAUAGGUGUGCCUAGGUGGGAUUAGGUAGUUGGUGAGGUAAUGGCGCACCAAGGCGAAUAUCCCUAGCUGGUCUGAGUGGAUGAUCAGCACCACUGGAACUGCGACACGGUCUAGACUCCUACGUGAGGCAGCAGUGGGGAAUAUUGCACAAUGGGGGAAACCCUGAUGCAGCCAUGCCGCGUGUGUGAAGAAGGCCUUCGGGUUGUAAUGCUCUUUCAGCUAGGAGGCGUUACUCGCAGAAGAAGCACCGGCUAACUCCGUGCCAGCAGCCGCGGUAAUUC
rnacentral:rRNA from 1 species